rnacentral:tRNA from 1 species
GAUCCGGCUGAGGCGAAUUGGGAGGAUAGACAACGGCCUUCUAAGCCGUGGGUCGCAGGUUCGAAUCCUGCAGGGUGCGCCA